rnacentral:rRNA from 1 species
AUGAGGACAUUAUUCUGGAAUUGCCGCGGGAUUGGUGAUCCCACAACAGUCAACGAGCUUUGCGAUCUCACGAGGGCAAGUGCGCCGUCGGUUCUUUGCAUUGCGGAAACAUAAAUUGCAAAGAAGCGAGUGGAAGGAUUGGCGGUAUCAUUGGGGUAUGAUCGAAGUUGCACUGUAUCUAGCUCGGGAAGAAGUGGUGGUCUGUGUGUUUUCUGGAAGAAU